AACGAACGCUGGCGGCAUGCCUAACACAUGCAAGUCGAACGGAUCCUUCGGGAUUAGUGGCGGACGGGUGAGUAACGCGUGGGAACGUACCCCUUUCUUCGGAAUAGCCUCGGGAAACUGGGAGUAAUACCGGAUAAGCCCUAUUGGGGAAAGAUUUAUCGGGAAGGGAUCGGCCCGCGUUGGAUUAGGUAGUUGGUGGGGUAAUGGCCUACCAAGCCGACGAUCCAUAGCUGGUUUGAGAGGAUGAUCAGACACACUGGAACUGAGACACGGUCCAGACUCCUACGGGAGGCAGCAGUGAGGAAUAUUGGUCAAUGGACGGAAGUCUGAACCAGCCAUCCCGCGUGCAGGAUGACUGCCCUAUGGGUUGUAAACUGCUUUUAGCAGAGACGAAACGCCUUCAUUUAUGAGGGUCUGACGGUAUCUGCAGAAUAAGCACCGGCUAACUCCGUGCCAGCAGCCGCGGUAAAGUAGACGUCU
rnacentral:rRNA from 1 species